UGGCGGAGAACUCACCUUGGUCGGAAAUGGGGAAAAAACUCGCCUGUUUUCGGCUAAGGGACCCUUUUAUAGUGGCUGGCCAGGCCACGUUCGGGGGCCGAACGUGCCUCCGCAUGCAUGCCAUGUUCGGCGGCCGAACUUGAGGUUCGGCGGCCGAACCUGGACUUUCCUCACUUAUGCUUUCGGGGGCCUAAAGGCGCUCCCGAAGGCAUGCAUGUUCGGCGGCCGAACUUGAGAUUCGGCGGCCGAACCUGAGUUUUCCUUCAAGGUUGUUUUAAUGCAAAAAAACUCAUUUCCAUUUUACUUAAAACCAUGAAAUACCUUAAAACAUUUUAUGAAAACAUGAUUCUACCCUACUAGAGGCUUCCGACAUCCGAGAUUCCACCGGACGGUAGGAAUUUCGAUACCGGAGUCUAGCCGGGUAUUACAUUCUCCCCCCCUUAAGAACAUUCGUCCCCGAAUGUUCCUCAACUAGCACAUAGCAUGGCAUAAAACAUAACAUACAUACAUAACACAUAAACACAUAGAGAUCUAACCUUAAAAGAGAUGAGGGUAUUGCUGGAGCAUAGACUCCCGUGUCUCCCAAGUGCAUUCCUCCAAAUUGUGGUGGUUCCACAGGACUUUCAGCAUCGGGAUUUCCUUGUUCCUUAACUU
rnacentral:lncRNA from 1 species